UACGGGGGGAGCAAGCGUUGUUCGGAUUUACUGGGCGUAAAGGGCGCGUAGGCGGCCACCGCAAGUCGACUGUGAAAUCUCCGGGCUUAACCCGGAAAGGUCAGCCGAUACUGCGGGGCUAGAGUGCAGAAGGGGCAACUGGAAUUCUCGGUGUAGCGGUGAAAUGCGUAGAUAUCGAGAGGAACACCUGCGGCGAAGGCGGAUUGCUGGGCUGACACUGACGCUGAGGCGCGAAAGCUAGGGGAGCGAACGGG
rnacentral:rRNA from 1 species